UGAAUAGUGUUCCAUUUUGAAAGCCA
rnacentral:piRNA from 1 species